UACGGAGGGAGCUAGCGUUGUUCGGAAUUACUGGGCGUAAAGCGCGCGUAGGCGGCUUUGUAAGUUAGAGGUGAAAGCCCGGAGCUCAACUCCGGAACUGCCUUUAAAACUGCAUCGCUUGAAUCCAGGAGAGGUGGGUGGAAUUCCGAGUGUAGAGGUGAAAUUCGUAGAUAUUCGGAAGAACACCAGUGGCGAAGGCGGCUCACUGGACUGGUAUUGACGCUGAGACUCGAAAGCGUGGGGAGCAAACAGG
rnacentral:rRNA from 1 species